rnacentral:rRNA from 1 species
UAGGUAAUCUUCCACAAUGGCCGCAAGCCUGAUGGAGCAACACCGCGUGAGUGAAGAAGGGUUUCGGCUCGUAAAGCUCUGUUGUUGGAGAAGAACGUUGGUUAGAGUAACUGUUCACGCAGUGACGGUAUCCAACCAGAAAGUCACGGUUAACUACGGUCCAGCAGACGCGGUAAUACGUAGGUGGCAAGCGUUAUCCGGAUUUAUUGGGCGUAAAGCGAGCGCAGGCGGUUGCUUAGGUCUGAUGUGAAAGCCUUCGGCUUAACCGAAGAAGUGCAUCGGAAACCGGGCGACUUGAGUGCAGAAGAGGACAGUGGAACUCCAUGUGUAGCGGUGGAAUGCGUAGAUAUAUGGAAGAACACCAGUGGCGAAGGCGGCUGUCUGGUCUGCAACUGACGCUGAGGCUCGAAAGCAUGGGUAGCGAACAGG